rnacentral:rRNA from 1 species
UACGUAGGGUGCAAGCGUUAAUCGGAAUUACUGGGCGUAAAGCGCACGUAGGCGGAUCUUUAAGUCAGGGGUGAAAUCCUGGAGCUCAACUCCAGAACUGCCUUUGAUACUGGGGAUCUCGAGUCCGGGAGAGGUGAGUGGAACUCCGAGUGUAGAGGUGAAAUUCGUAGAUAUUCGGAAGAACACCAAUGGCGAAGGCAGCUCGCUGGGACGGUACUGACGCUGAGACGCGAAAGCGUGGGGAGCAAACAGG